AGAGUUUGAUCCUGGCUCAGAUUGAACGCUGGCGGCAGGCCUAACACAUGCAAGUCGAGCGGAUGAAGGGAGCUUGCUCCCUGAUUUAGCGGCGGACGGGUGAGUAAUGCCUAGGAAUCUGCCUGGUAGUGGGGGAUAACGUUCCGAAAGGAACGCUAAUACCGCAUACGUCCUACGGGAGAAAGCAGGGGACCUUCGGGCCUUGCGCUAUCAGAUGAGCCUAGGUCGGAUUAGCUAGUUGGUGAGGUAAUGGCUCACCAAGGCGACGAUCCGUAACUGGUCUGAGAGGAUGAUCAGUCACACUGGAACUGAGACACGGUCCAGACUCCUACGGGAGGCAGCAGUGGGGAAUAUUGGACAAUGGGCGAAAGCCUGAUCCAGCCAUGCCGCGUGUGUGAAGAAGGUCUUCGGAUUGUAAAGCACUUUAAGUUGGGAGGAAGGGCAUUAACCUAAUACGUUAGUGUUUUGACGUUACCGACAGAAUAAGCACCGGCUAACUUCGUGCCAGCAGCCGCGGU
rnacentral:rRNA from 2 species